UCUGGCAACCUUUACUACUGUGUGAUGCAUAUACAACAGAAUUUUAGCAAACACUAUACUGAAGCUAAGCACGGCUGAGCCUGGUCAGUACCUGGAUUGGAGACCACAUGGGAAAACUAGGUUGCUGUUGGAA
rnacentral:rRNA from 1 species